rnacentral:misc_RNA from 1 species
CAUUGUGACACCCUUUCUGUCCGUUCGCGUGACGCUUUUUCUCGACUUUAGCCUUGCCUGUCGAAAGCAAUCCGUUAGCAUCCGGCCACUUCCUGCUUCCUAGCUCUCCGCCGCUAAGCAUUUCAACGCCUCGGUGCUCAGCAGAACGCGCACCAUUAGUCUCCCAGGAGCCUGAAGAUGAAGGUUACUUCACAAACUAUUUCCGACUAAAUGACGCGACUCUCGAUGAGUGGUUCCCUUGAUUUCUCUAUUCUACAGUCCACCCCUGCAUCCGAUUAGUACCUCAUGUGGUCAUCAUCAUGUUUGCCGGAAAUUCUCGCCAGCCCCAUACAUUAGAACCUAUCUUGCACACCCUUCUGUAGAACGAAAACCGAAUGAACCAUCGAACACCAUCACAGCGACCGCGUGACAGAAGUAGUCGAGAAUGCACUCAGGGAAAAAGGCAUUCAUAUUCUGCAAACUGGCUACCGACACCGGCAAGGGGGGCACGUUUCCAUGGCUGCGGAGGGAUAUGGGCGAAAACUAAAUCUAACACUCAAACCACACUCUGCAGACUGGCGUCUUGAGGAUUGCUGGCAAGUCCGCUGCUGAGCACCCCUGUCACAAAAUGGCUCUUUCCCCUCCGUGACGAUUAUAUUGAGACUCUCUAUGCCGCUGAAAGGCUUGCGCUCGAAGCUCGCAGGAGCGGCCUUCUGCCACUGACCACUCUCAGAAACAGUGUGGAACACUUACAUCCGCUUCUUGAGCUCUCAG